rnacentral:tRNA from 1 species
UGGCUCAGUUGGUAGAGCAUGGUGUUUGCAAUGCCAGGGUUGUGGGUUUGAGUCCCAU